GACGGGGGGUCCUAGCGUUGUUCGGAAUCAUUGGGCGUAAAGCGUGUGCAGGCUGUUCGAUAAGUUGGAUGUGAAAGCCUUGGGCUCAGCCCAAGAAGUGCAUUCAAAACUAUCAGACUUGAGUACGGAAGAGGAUCGUGGAAUUCCUAGUGUAGUGGUGAAAUACGUAGAUAUUAGGAGGAACACCGGUUGCGAAGGCGGCGAUCUGGUCCAGUACUGACGCUCAUACACGAAAGCGUGGGGAUCAAACAGG
rnacentral:rRNA from 1 species